rnacentral:rRNA from 1 species
GUCCACGCCCUAAACGAUGUCAACUAGGUGUUGGGGAAGGAGACUUUCUUAGUACCGCAGCUAACGCGUGAAGUUGACCGCCUGGGGAGUACGGUCGCAAGAUUAAAACUCAAAGGAAUUGACGGGGACCCGCACAAGCGGUGGAUGAUGUGGAUUAAUUCGAUGCAACGCUAAAACCUUACCUACCCUUGACAUGCCAGGAAGUCUGGAGAGAUUUGGAUGUGCCCGAAAGGGAACCUGGACACAGGUGCUGCAUGGCUGUCGU